UAGGGAAUCUUCCGCAAUGGACGAAAGUCUGACGGAGCAACGCCGCGUGAGUGAAGAAGGUCUUCGGAUCGUAAAACUCUGUUGUCAGGGAAGAACAAGUAUCGGAGUAACUGCCGGUACCUUGACGGUACCUGACCAGAAAGCCACGGCUAACUACGUGCCAGCAGCCGCGGUAAUACGUAGGUGGCAAGCGUUGUCCGGAAUUAUUGGGCGUAAAGCGCGCGCAGGCGGUUUCUUAAGUCUGAUGUGAAAGCCCACGGCUUAACCGUGGAAGGUCAUUGGAAACUGGGAGACUUGAGUGCAGAAGAGAAGAGCGGAAUUCCACGUGUAGCGGUGAAAUGCGUAGAGAUGUGGAGGAACACCAGUGGCGAAGGCGGCUCUUUGGUCUGUAACUGACGCUGAGGCGCGAAAGCGUGGGGAUCAAACA
rnacentral:rRNA from 1 species